CGCCCAACAGCUAGCCCACCCAAGCAAGUUCAACAAACCCCUGUUAAUAACCCCUAACUACCCUAGUAUUUAUAUUAAACAAACCAUUUUUCCCCCUUAGUAUAGGCGAUAGAAAAGAGACUAAGGCGCAAUAGAGAAAGUACCGCAAGGGAAUGCUGAAAGAGAAAUGAAACAAACCAGUAAAGCCUAAAAAAGCAGAGAUUAUGCCUCGUACCUUUUGCAUCAUGAUUUAGCAAGUGUACCCCAAGCAAAGAGUACUUUAGUUUGACGUCCCGAAACUACGUGAGCUACUCCAAGACAGCCUAUUAAUAGGGCACACCCGUCUCUGUGGCAAAAGAGUGGGGAGAGCUUUGAGUAGAGGUGAUAAACCUACCGAACCUAGUUAUAGCUGGUUGUCCAAGAAGUGAAUAGAAGUUCAGCCUCUCGGCUUCUCUUUUCACCUUAGUCUGACCCCUAUUGAUGCAUUAAAGAAACUGAGAGAGUUAGUCAAAGGGGGUACAGCCCCUUUGAAUCAAGACACAACUUUAUUAGGCGGGUAAAGAUCAUAAUAAUUAAAGCUAAAUACUCUGGUGGGCCUAAAAGCAGCCAUCCCCGUAGAAAGCGUUAAAGCUCAGGUAUGCUACUUAAACCUUCUUAUUUUGAUCACCUAAUCUAACCCCCCUAAACAUACUGGACCGUCCCAUGCCCGCAUGGGAGUGAUUAUGCUAAUAUGAGUAAUAAGAGAGCUAAAGACUCUCUCCCCGCACACGUGUACGUCGGAACGGACAAACCGCCGACUCUUAACGACCCCAAAUAAAGAGGGUACUGGAUCAUAGACCAAACAACUAGAAAAAUAUCCAAGAACUAACCGUUACCCCUACACAGGUGUGCCCCCAGGGAAAGACUAAAAGGAAGAGAA
rnacentral:rRNA from 1 species